UGUUUACAAAAGCAGACGUCUGCGUUUUCGGAUAGACUUUUCGUUCCGAUUGUUUGGGUAUAGAAGCGAACGGGAUAAAAAAUAAUGCCUUUUUCCUAUUAAACAACGUUCGAAAACGUCGUUCGUUUUUAAGUCAUCGCACGAGUUAAUAUGAUCGAUUCGGAACUGGAAAAUAUAUCGAAAGACGGUAACCACGACAAAAAUACAAUUUUACAAGAGUAUGAUGAAGCAGUGGAAACUCUUAAAAAAGACUUAACUAUGUGCAAGACGGAACAAAACAAGAUCAGGUCUUUGCUGGAAGCUCUACAAAAUGAUAGCAGAGAUACUGGUGAUCUGAUUAAGGAUCAUUUCUCUCGCAUUCAUAUAGAAACUUGUAGCAGCGAGAGCAUACACAAUAAGGAGCUUAUAAUGAAUCUACAAGAACGCCUUGCUGUUUUACAAAUGGAAAAAGAUUCUGUCUUUCAAUUAUGGCAAAUAGCAUUGAAAACUGUGACUGCUCUGGAGGAUGAAUUAAGGUGUCUUAGAACCGAUGGUAAAAGUACCAAAUUAUACGAGGAGCAUAUCGAUAAUGUCAAAGAGACUUAUUCCGAGGCUAUCAAAGCAUUGGAGGGCAAGUUAUUACAAGCGAGGGAAAAUUUUUUGAAACAGCAAGCAUUGUGGGAAACUAGCAAGGAUAAAAUUGAGGACCUGCUUAAAGAAAAAGCUGAUAUUACAAGGAAACAUGAAGUUUAUCAAAAGGACACCCUGGAGAAAGAUAGGAACAAUAUGCGGAUAGUUGAAACGUUGAAAACCGAAUUAGCUGCUGCAAAAGCGGAUACCCAAAGGGCAAUGGAUUUAAAAGGAGAGUUGGAGAGUAAAUUGAACGAAGCUAUGAAAUUUACGGCAUCUUUGAUAGCCAGAAAUGAAGAAACAAAAAAUAAAAUGUCCGAGGCUUUGGAGUUGGUAGAAAUAGCGGUAAGAGAAAAGGAUCUUGUAUUACAAAGGGAAGCACAUGUAUUAGAGGAAAAAGGUAGGCUCGAGGUACGAUUGUCUAAAAUAACUGAAGAACAUACCGUCAUGUUACAAGAUGAGAUAACGAAAAUGAAAGAUGUUUAUGAAAGAAGCGGGAAAAAAUAUAUAUCCGAAAUCAAAGAGCUUAAAGCAGAGUUAAGACAAAGAACGAUGCUAUUGGAUAAUGCACAAAAAGAUUAUAGAGUUUCUCAGGAAGAACUUGAAAAGGUACGUCAGAAUUCUGAGGAUGUAUUACAAAAGUCGAGAACGAAAAUAUUGGAUUUUGAACAAAAAUUAGAUUGUGUGGAACGUCAACUUCGUGACAAUGACGAUACGCAGAGGAAGAAGUAUGACGCGGAGAUCAGGCAUUUAGAAUCUAAAGUAAUUGAAUUAGAAGAAAAGUUGAGCGCCGCUAAUGAUGAAUUAAGAAAAAUGCAACAAGAGAAUCGCGAUAGUAUGGAGCAUCAGGUAAAACAGGCUAAUGAAAAAACAAAAGACCUAAUAGAGCAGUGCAAUGAUUUAGAGAAACGUUUGGCUAGAUCUUUGGAAGAUAGAGACAAUUUUCAGACAGAAAUCAAACGCCUACAAAUGACUUGUGAUCGUGAAAUGCAAAAGCGAGAGUACGAGAGACAUAGUCUUGAAAAUAAAAUUCACGAUUUAGAGAUCAAUUUUCAAAAAGCAACUUAUUUGGCACAGGACGGUCCAUAUGCACUUGCGACUCAAGUAUAUACCAUGGAGAGGGAAACGAAGAAGCCCAGUUCACCCGUAACGAUAGAAACCAAGGAACAUUGUUGUCGACCGGUCCUAUUGGAGCAGAUGAAUAAAGCGCAGGAACGAUACGAUAGGAAGAUGAAGGAAUUGUCGCAUCAUGUGGAAGUUCAUCGGAAACUUAGUAGGAAGUUGUUCAAGGUGGAAGGAAGAAGCCAAGUCAAUGACAACGAAGUUUCAAGAAAAGACUAAGGAACACAGAGCCAAAAUAAAUGCCCUAAGAAAGGAGAACGAGGAAUUGAAUAAGCGAUUAUUUUCGUGUCAGCAAGAACUUACUAAACAUAAAGUACAAAGUGUUCCGAGAUGCAGCGAAGAAAAUAAAGUCAGGUGACAUUAUAAUGUCAUACUCGUAGGAUUAAUAUCACGUCAUCUUGGCUUCUGUAAAUAUCGCAUAAUACGGCGGAUUUGUCUAUUUUGGAAAUACAUGUUCAUACAGGAAAUAUAAACUAAAUCUUAAAUGUGAUUCCUACCUGAGAUGAAAUCUUUAAAAAAUAUUAUUCUUUGGACGCGAUACAGCCCGUAAACAGGCUAGGAAACCAAUACAAGGCUUCAUAUUCUCCUUGUUCGUCCAACCAAGCCAAUCCUUCCUUCACCAUGUGAUCCAAUGCUUUCUGAGCUCUCUCUCUUUCCCAUCUUAAUUCAUUUUCUAGCAUAGACCCUGAUACGUGCGCAUUUCCAGACAAGCUAGCUUGCUGCAGCACAGCGGUAUGAUCCAU